rnacentral:rRNA from 1 species
UACGAGUGCCCCAAGCGUUAUCCGGAAUCAUUGGGCGUAAAGGGUGUGUAGGUGGUUUUGUUAGUCUUCUGUUAAAUACUUGGGCUUAACCCAAGAACUGCAGAGGAAACGGCAAGACUUGAGGAUGCGAGGGGUGAAUGGAACUCAUAGUGGAGGGGUGAAAUCCGUUGAUAUUAUGGGGAACACCAAAAGCGAAGGCAAUUCACUGGCGCAUUUCUGACACUGAAACACGAAAGCGUGGGUAGCGAAUGGG